rnacentral:rRNA from 1 species
UACAGAGGGUGCGAGCGUUAAUCGGAAUUACUGGGCGUAAAGCGUGCGCAGGCGGUUUUGUAAGUCAGAUGUGAAAUCCCCGGGCUCAACCUGGGAAUGGCAUUUGGGACUGCAAGGCUUGAGUGCGGAAGAGGAGACUGGAAUUCCUGGUGUAGCAGUGAAAUGCGUAGAUAUCAGGAGGAAUACCGAUGGCGAAGGCAGGUCUCUGGGCUGACACUGACGCUCAUGCACGAAAGCGUGGGGAGCAAACAGG